CCUACGGGCGGCAGCAGUGAGGAAUAUUGGUCAAUGGCCGGAAGGCUGAACCAGCCAUGCCGCGUGAAGGUCAGUGCCCUAUGGGCGUUAAACUUCUUUUGUGCGGGAGCAAUAAUGGUCACGUGUGGCCAGACGAGAGUACCGUACGAAUAAGCAUCGGCUAACUCCGUGCCAGCAGCCGCGGUAAUACGGGGGAUGCAAGCGUUAUCCGGAUUUAUUGGGUUUAAAGGGUGCGUAAGCUGUGAGGUAAGUCAGCGGUGAAAUGCCCCCGCUCAACGGGGUGAAGUGCCAUUGAUACUGGCUGGCUGGAAUGCGGAUGCCGUGGGAGGAAUGUGUGGUGUAGCGGUGAAAUGCAUAGAUAUCACACAGAACACCGAUUGCGAAGGCAUCUCACGAAUCCGCGAUUGACGCUGAUGCACGAAAGCGUGGGUAUCAAACAGGAUUAGAUACCCUAGUAGUC
rnacentral:rRNA from 1 species